UACGUAGGGUGCGAGCGUUGUCCGGAAUUAUUGGGCGUAAAGAGCUCGUAGGCGGCUUGUCACGUCGGGUGUGAAAGCCCGGGGCUUAACCCCGGGUCUGCAUUCGAUACGGGCUAGCUAGAGUGUGGUAGGGGAGAUCGGAAUUCCUGGUGUAGCGGUGAAAUGCGCAGAUAUCAGGAGGAACACCGGUGGCGAAGGCGGUGAUCUGGGCCGGCACUGACGCUGAGGAGCGAAAGCGUGGGGAGCAAACAGG
rnacentral:rRNA from 1 species